GAUGAACGCUGGCGGCGUGCCUAAUACAUGCAAGUCGAGCGAAGGGACGAGAAGCUUGCUUCUCUGAUGUUAGCGGCGGACGGGUGAGUAACAAGUGGAUAACCUACCUAUAAGACUGGGAUAACUUCGGGAAACCGGAGCUAAUACCGGAUAAUAUUUUGAACCGCAGGGUUCAAAAGUGAAAGACGGUCUUGCUGUCACUUAUAGAUGGAUCCGCGCUGCAUUAGCUAGUUGGUAAGGUAACGGCUUACCAAGGCAACGAUGCAUAGCCGACCUGAGAGGGUGAUCCGCCACACUGGGACUGAGCCACGGUCCAGACUCCUACGGGAGGCAGCAGUAGGGACUCUUCCGCAAUGGGCGAAAGCCUGACGGAGCAACGCCGCGUGAGUGAUGAAGGUCUUCGGAUCGUAAAACUCUGUUAUUAUGGAAGAACAUAUGUGUAAGUAACUGUGCACAUCUUGACGGUACCUAAUCAGAAAGCCACGGCUAACUACGUG
rnacentral:rRNA from 1 species